CCUACGGGAGGCUGCAGUGGGGAAUAUUGGACAAUGGGGGCGACCCUGAUCCAGCCAUGCCGCGUGUGUGAAGAAGGCCCUCGGGUUGUAAAGCACUUUCAGUGAGGAAGAACGCCUGGUGGUUAAUACCCAUCAGGAAAGACAUCACUCACAGAAGAAGCACCGGCUAACUCCGUGCCAGCAGCCGCGGUAAUACGGAGGGUGCGAGCGUUAAUCGGAAUUACUGGGCGUAAAGCGCGCGUAGGUGGCUUGAUAAGCCGGUUGUGAAAGCCCCGGGCUCAACCUGGGAACGGCAUCCGGAACUGUCAAGCUAGAGUGCAGGAGAGGAAGGUAGAAUUCCCGGUGUAGCGGUGAAAUGCGUAGAGAUCGGGAGGAAUACCAGUGGCGAAGGCGGCCUUCUGGACUGACACUGACACUGAGGUGCGAAAGCGUGGGUAGCAAACAGGAUUAGAUACCCUGGUAGUC
rnacentral:rRNA from 1 species